GCAAGUCGCACGAGAACGCUUCAGCUUGCUGAGGCUAGUAAAGUGGCGCACGGGUGAGUAACGCGUGGGUAAUCUCCCCCCGAAUUGGGGAUAACAUCGCGAAAGCGAUGCUAAUACCGAAUGAUAUCUGAAAAAUUCCGAUUUUUUGGAUCAAAGGUGGCCUCUACAUGUAAGCUACUGUUUGGGGAUGAGCCCGCGUACCAUUAGCUUGUUGGUAGGGUAAUGGCCUACCAAGACUAUGAUCAAUAGCUGAUUUGAGAGGAUGAUC
rnacentral:rRNA from 1 species